rnacentral:rRNA from 1 species
UCGUAACAAGGUUUCCGUAGGUGAACCUGCGGAAGGAUCAUUACCGAGUGUAGGGUUCCUAGCGAGCCCAACCUCCCACCCGUGUUUACUGUACUUAGUUGCUUCGGCGGGCCCGCCAUUCAUGGCCGCCGGGGGCUCUCAGCCCCGGGCCCGCGCCCGCCGGAGACACCACGAACUCUGUCUGAUCUAGUGAAGUCUGAGUUGAUUGUAUCGCAAUCAGUUAAAACUUUCAACAAUGGAUCUCUUGGUUCCGGCAUCGAUGAAGAACGCAGCGAAAUGCGAUAACUAGUGUGAAUUGCAGAAUUCCGUGAAUCAUCGAGUCUUUGAACGCACAUUGCGCCCCCUGGUAUUCCGGGGGGCAUGCCUGUCCGAGCGUCAUUGCUGCCCAUCAAGCACGGCUUGUGUGUUGGGUCGUCGUCCCCUCUCCGGGGGGGACGGGCCCCAAAGGCAGCGGCGGCACCGCGUCCGAUCCUCGAGCGUAUGGGGCUUUGUCACCCGCUCUGUAGGCCCGGCCGGCGCUUGCCGAACGCAAAUCAAUCUUUUUCCAGGUUGACCUCGGAUCAGGUAGGGAUACCCGCUGAACUUAAGCAUAUCAAUAAGCGGAGGAAAAGAAACCAACCGGGAUUGCCUCAGUAACGGCGAGUGAAGCGGCAAGAGCUCAAAUUUGAAAGCUGGCUCCUUCGGGGUCCGCAUUGUAAUUUGCAGAGGAUGCUUCGGGUGCGGCCCCUGUCUAAGUGCCCUGGAACGGGCCGUCAGAGAGGGUGAGAAUCCCGUCUGGGAUGGGGUGUCCGCGCCCGUGUGAAGCUCCUUCGACGAGUCGAGUUGUUUGGGAAUGCAGCUCUAAAUGGGUGGUAAAUUUCAUCUAAAGCUAAAUACUGGCCGGAGACCGAUAGCGCACAAGUAGAGUGAUCGAAAGAUGAAAAGCACUUUGAAAAGAGAGUUAAAAAGCACGUGAAAUUGUUGAAAGGGAAGCGCUUGCGACCAGACUCGCCUCCAGGGUUCAGCCGGCAUUCGUGCCGGUGUACUUCCCUGGGGGCGGGCCAGCGUCGGUUUGGGCGGCCGGUCAAAGGCUCCCGGAAUGUAGUGCCCUCCGGGGCACCUUAUAGCCGGGAGUGCAAUGCGGCCAGCCUGGACCGAGGAACGCGCUUCGGCACGGACGCUGGCAUAAUGGUCGUAAACGACCCG